rnacentral:lncRNA from 10 species
CUCCUCCAUGCCCUUCUCAUGCUUCACUCCCAAUCCUGUGCCCCAGGUGCCUCUACUCCCAGACCCGGACUCACUGGUGGAAAAGUGAAACCACAUUCCUGUUUGAUUUCUGACAGCUUUGGCUGCCUGCCUUUUCCUUCCUCACCAAGAUGAUUGGCUGCCGUGUUGUCCCACUUUAUCUUCAAGAGCCCCCAGCCUUCCUGAGCCACCUUCUCUUUGGAGGGAGAUCUGUAUUUACCAAAUAUCUAUGUAUUUAUUGAAUAUCUGUUUGAUUUAUUUUA